UACGUAGGGUGCAAGCGUUGUCCGGAAUUAUUGGGCGUAAAGAGCUCGUAGGCGGUUUGUUGCGUCGGCUGUGAAAUCCCGAGGCUCAACCUCGGGUCUGCAGUCGAUACGAGCAAACUAGAGUGUUGCAGGGGAGACUGGAAUUCCUGGUGUAGCGGUGAAAUGCGCAGAUAUCAGGAGGAACACCUGUGGCGAAGGCGGCCCCCUGGGCCGGCCCUGACACUGAGACGCGAAGGCGUGGGGAGCGAACGGG
rnacentral:rRNA from 1 species